rnacentral:rRNA from 1 species
UUGACCUCGGAUCAGGUAGGGAUACCCGCUGAACUUAAGCAUAUCAAUAAGCGGAGGAAAAGAAACCAACAGGGAUUGCCCUAGUAACGGCGAGUGAAGCGGCAACAGCUCAAAUUUGAAAUCUGGCGCAAGCCCGAGUUGUAAUUUGUAGAGGAUGCUUCAGGACAGCGGCCGGUCUAAGUUCCUUGGAACAGGACGUCAUAGAGGGUGAGAAUCCCGUAUGCGACCGGUUGGCAUCCGUCACGUAGCUCCUUCGACGAGUCGAGUUGUUUGGGAAUGCAGCUCUAAAUGGGAGGUAAAUGCCUUCUAAAGCUAAAUACCGGCCAGAGACCGAUAGCGCACAAGUAGAGUGAUCGAAAGAUGAAAAGCACUUUGGAAAGAGAGUUAAAAAGCACGUGAAAUUGUUGAAAGGGAAGCGCAUGCAACCAGACUUGUCGGCGGUGUUCCGCCGGUCUUCUGACCGGUCUAUUCGCCGCCGGCAGGCCAACAUCAUCUGGGAGCGCCGGAUAAAGGUGCGGGGAAUGUGGCCCCUCGGGGUGUUAUAGCUUCGCACGCAAUACGGCGCCUCCCGGGUGAGGUCCGCGCUUCGGCUAGGAUGUUGGCGUAAUGGUUGUUUGCGGCCCGUCUUGAAACACGGACCAAGGAGUCUAACAUCUAUGCGAGUGUUCGGGUGUCAAACCCCUACGCGUAAUGAAAGUGAACGGAGGUGGGAACUUUAUUGUGCACCAUCGACCGAUCCUGAUGUCUUCGGAUGGAUUUGAGUAAGAGCAUAGCUGUUGGGACCCGAAAGAUGGUGAACUAUGCCUGAAUAGGGUGAAGCCAGAGGAAACUCUGGUGGAGGCUCGCAGCGGUUCUGACGUGCAAAUCGAUCGUCAAAUUUGGGUAUAGGGGCGAAAGACUAAUCGAACCAUCUAGUAGCUGGUUCCUGC